CUUUGCACUUGAAGAUAAUUAAUUUGACAGAACUUGAACUAAAUCGUGUGGAUAUACGGGUUGGAUUGUCUGGUGCCCUAUACUUCAUGGAUGGUUCUCCUCAAGCAGUGCGGCAGCUGCGUAAUCUUGUCUCACAGGAUCCUGUACAAUGCAGUGUCACCGUUGGUGU